rnacentral:lncRNA from 1 species
GGUGGACGUCACAUGUGCAGCUCAGCUGUUGUGCUGAGAAUUGCUGACACGAGCAGUUCCAACCAGGAAAGCAGAGCUGCUUCCCACGGACAGAUUUUGGGGGUGGGUAGCAGGGACCCUCCUGACGGCUUGCUUCUGGGAUGUAGGAUGCAUUACGGAAAUCAUGAGCCUGUGUCCAGGCGUGGUCUCCUUUUCAUAGACCUGGGUACUGUGGCAACAUCCACCCCCCCCCCCCCCCCCCGCCCCCGCCGCAAGGCUGCCUUUUGGCUGCUGGCUGUGCCAUGGAAUGGAGCAUAUGUAUUUCUGCAUAUUUCCACUUUUGUGGUUUCAGUUCCAGGCUUUCAAAUUUUUUUUUCUUUUUUUCAGGAGAGAUCAGAGACAUACAGACUGUACUUCCUUCUGCGACACAGAAUUCGCACCUACUUGCUGAAUGGAAAACUUCCGUACAGAAUCCUCUCAUCUUUUUACGAGGAAGCCAUGGUCUCCAACUUCAAAAUUGAGGGACUACAUUUAAUUCGCGCAACUAUUCCCAACAGCCAAGACAUGGAAACACCCUAAAUGUCCAUCAACAGAGGAGUGGAUCAAGAAGAUGCAGUAUAUGUCUACAAUGGAAUAUUACUCAGCCGUAAAAAAGAAUGAAAUAAUGCCACUUGCAGCCGCAUGAAUGGGCCUAGAGAUUAUCAUACUCACUGAAGUUAAUCAGACAGUGAAAGACAAAUACCAUACACUAUCACGUCUAUGUGGAAUCUAAAAUAUGAUGCAAAUGAUCCUGUCUACAGAACAGAAACAGACUCACAGACAUAGAGAACAGGCUUGUGGUCGCC